UACGUAGGGUGCAAGCGUUAAUCGGAAUUACUGGGCGUAAAGCGUGCGCAGGCGGUUAUGUAAGACAGAUGUGAAAUGCCCGGGCUUAACCUGGGAACUGCAUUUGUGACUGCAUGGCUAGAGUGUGUCAGAGGGGGGUAGAAUUCCACGUGUAGCAGCGAAAUGCGUAGAUAUGUGGAGGAAUACCGAUGGCGAAGGCAGCCCCCUGGGAUAACACUGACGCUCAUGCACGAAAGCGUGGGGAGCAAACAGG
rnacentral:rRNA from 1 species